GACGAACGCUGGCGGCGUGCUUAACACAUGCAAGUCGAACGGAAAGGCCCUGCUUUUGUGGGGUGCUCGAGUGGCGAACGGGUGAGUAACACGUGAGUAACCUGCCCUUGACUUUGGGAUAACUUCAGGAAACUGGGGCUAAUACCGGAUAGGAGCUCCUGCUGCAUGGUGGGGGUUGGAAAGUUUCGGCGGUUGGGGAUGGACUCGCGGCUUAUCAGCUUGUUGGGGGGGUAGUGGCUUACCAAGGCUUUGACGGGUAGCCGGCCUGAGAGGGUGACCGGCCACAUUGGGACUGAGAUACGGCCCAGACUCCUACGGGAGGCAGCAGUGGGGAAUAAUGCACAAUGGGCGGAAGCCUGAUGCAGCAACGCCGCGUGCGGGAUGACGGCCUUCGGGUUGUAAACCGCUUUCGCCUGCGACGAAGCGUGAGUGACGGUAAUGGGUAAAGAAGCACCGGCUAACUACGUG
rnacentral:rRNA from 1 species